rnacentral:lncRNA from 1 species
CAUAGGAUUGCUAGGUGAUGGUGGAACCCUAGUGCUUUCUUAAUUUGAUUUUUCUCAAAACUGUUUUCUUUUCUCUCUAGUUUUAAUAUUGCAGAUUCUCUUAUCAUUAAUAGUUAAAUUCGUUUUUAGUUUAAGUAUGUUAUAAAAUCAAUCAUCUAAAUUUCUACUUUACAAUAAUUAAUUGAAAUCUGGUUUGUUUCGGUUUAUUUAAUAAUCCCUCUGGAGAAUGACCUUGCGAGAUCCGUUUAUACUACAAUAUCCUUGUAAUUCUUGCAAAUAAAAUAGAAGGUUUUUAUCGCAUUCACAUGUUUUAAAUAAACUCAUCCUGAAUAUAAGCAUGCACUUUGUCACUUCCCCAUGAUAGGGUGAAGGCGGUGUACAAGUCAUAAACGCUUGGAGCCUACCACGGUGGAAGGCCACGAAAAAGUGUUCUAAGCACUCUUACGCUUUCAACUUAAUAUUUGUUUGGUUGAGGGAUUUUAAGGUCUCAUCAAUUUUAUUUAUUUAAUCACAAUCAAAUAAAUAAUGUCCUAUUACAACUACUAGUCCAAAGUUAAUGAAAUUAGUAGCAUAUAAUAUCCCCACUAUUCGUUUUCAUAAAACAAAUCAAUAUCAAAACAUUUUUCAAAAUAUUGGAGAUAUAUAUAACUACUAAUUGUAUUCAUUAUAAUUUAGUAGCGUAUGAUACUCCCACUAUUUGUUUUGAAAAAAAACAAAUCAAUAUCAAAAACGAAUUUUUCAAAUAUUGGAAGUAACUACUACUACUAAGGUUUUUGCAUUCCUUUGAAAUUGGACUUUAUAGUUAUCUUAGGCUCUUGGAUGACCAUGGACUUAUUAGAUUAUUGCAACAACGAGCCAUCAUUGUUGAAUAUAAACUCGGGGAGGUUGUGUCAAUUUAAUUACGUGCUUAUCAAUCCAAUUAAAACCAUUUUCAUUGAGCCAUUAGAAAUGAAAUACAAUCAUUCAUUGCUAAUUUGGGCAUUGGACCCUUUUAAUCUUUAAUCUCAUGUCAAAACCCUCUUUUAGUUAUGUCUCCUUUACCAAUAGUUAAAGAAACUCUAGUCUAGCACAAUAGGGAAUCGACUAACGAAUAGAGAUUAAGAAGUAAUAAGAAUUACAAACCGAUUUGUACAAAUUCCUAUAAAUUACAU